AUUGAACGCUGGCGGCAGGCCUAACACAUGCAAGUCGAACGAGUGGCAGACGGGUGAGUAAUGUCUGGGAAACUGCCCGAUGGAGGGGGAUAACUACUGAAAACGGUAGCUAAUACCGCAUACCAUCGGAUGUGCCCAGAUGGGAUUAGCUAGUAGGUGGGGUAAAGGCUAACCUAGUCACCGAUCACUAGCUGGUCUGAGAGGAUGACCAGCCACACGGGAACUGAGACACGGUCCAGACUCCUACGGGAGGCAGCAUUGGGGAAUAUGGCACAAGGGGCUCAAGCCUGAUGCAGCCAUGCCGCGGCUAUGAAGAAGGCCUUCGGGUUGUAAAGUACUUUCAGCGAGGAGGCGUUACUCGCAGAAGAAGCACCGGCUAACUCCGUGCCAGCAGCCGCGGUAAUUC
rnacentral:rRNA from 1 species